rnacentral:rRNA from 1 species
UCAGUCGACUCCUACGGGGAGGCAGCAGUGGGGGAAUAGUUGCACAAUGGGCGCAAGCCUGAUGCAGCCAUGCCGCGUGUAUGAAGAAGGCCUUCGGGUUGUAAAGUACUUUCAGCAGUGAGGAAGGCGGAGUCGUUAAUAGCGGCCUCGUUUGACGUUAGCUGCAGAAGAAGCACCGGCUAACUCCGUGCCAGCAGCCGCGGUAAUACGGAGGGUGCGAGCGUUAAUCGGAAUUACUGGGCGUAAAGCGCAUGCAGGUGGUUUGUUAAGUCAGAUGUGAAAGCCCGGGGCUCAACCUCGGAAUUGCAUUUGUAAACUGGCAGACUAGAGUACUGUAGAGGGGGGUAGGAAUUUCAGGUGUAGUCGGUGAAAUGCGUAGAGAUCUGAAGGAAUACCGGUGGCGAAGGCGGCCCCCUGGACAGAUACUGACACUCAGAUGCGAAAGCGUGGGGAGCAAACAGGAUUAGAUACCCUGGUAG